rnacentral:ncRNA from 1 species
AAGGAUUAGUUAAAGAAUAGCUAGUCCUAAUGCUAACGCGUUAAAUCUGCCACCUGUAGAGUAUAGUCGCAUGGCUGAAAUACAAAUAAUUAGACUGUUCGUAAGCAAACGGAGUGGAGCAUGUUAUUUAAUACGAUAACCCGCGUAAAAUCUUACCACAUCUUGCAUACCUCAAUUACCUCAAAUGGUAGAGUGUACAGGUGCUGCAUGGCUGUCGCCAGUUAGUGCUCGUGAGGCCUAUGGUUAAUUCCGUUGAACUAACGCAAUCCUUGCUAUGAGUUGAUACCUCGUAGUUUCGCUCUGAUAAAGAGCGAUUUUAGAAGGACUAUGACAAGCCCUCAUGGCCCUUAUGGUGUGGGCUAUAGACGUGCUACAAGAAUGUUGACAAAAUGAUGCAAUCUCGAGAGAAGGAGCUAAUCACAAAAUAACAUUAAUGUACGGAUUGUAUUCUGGAACUCGAAUACAUGAAGCAGGAAUUCCGAGUAAUCGUGCAUCACCACGGCACGGUGAAACUAAAUCUUACGGAGGUACUAACCGCUCGUCACGGGCUGAGAGAUCGAACGCUAUGAAGUUGCGAUUAGAUGACAAACCUACAAGUAUUCAAGUAAUCACCCAUAGGGUAAUGGUAGUCUGUUUAAUCGUUUCGAGUGGUCAAGAUUGAUUGGUCUGAAGUCGAAACAAGGUAGCUUUUGGGGAACCAGAUGCUGAUUAAUAACAAAU